rnacentral:rRNA from 1 species
CCUACGGGUGGCAGCAGUAGGGAAUCUUCCGCAAUGGACGAAAGUCUGACGGAGCAACGCCGCGUGAGUGAAGAAGGUUUUCGGAUCGUAAAACUCUGUUGUCAGAGAAGAACAAGUUGGAGAGUAACUGCUCCAGCCUUGACGGUAUCUGACCAGAAAGCCACGGCUAACUACGUGCCAGCAGCCGCGGUAAUACGUAGGUGGCAAGCGUUGUCCGGAUUUAUUGGGCGUAGUGCGAUAAGAGGCGGGUGAAAGCCCACGGCUCAACCGUGGAAGGUCAUUGGAAACUGGGGAACUUGAGUGCAGAAGAGGAGAGUGGAAUUCCAUGUGUAGCGGUGAAAUGCGUAGAUAUAUGGAGGAACACCAGUGGCGAAGGCGACUCUCUGGUCUGUAACUGACGCUGAGGCUCGAAAGCGUGGGGAGCAAACAGGAUUAGAUACCCCGGUAGUC